rnacentral:rRNA from 1 species
UACGUAGGGUGCGAGCGUUGUCCGGAAUUAUUGGGCGUAAAGGGCUCGUAGGCGGUUUGUCGCGUCGGGAGUGAAAACACCGGGCUUAACUCGGUGCUUGCUUCCGAUACGGGCAGACUAGAGGCAUGCAGGGGAGAACGGAAUUCCUGGUGUAGCGGUGAAAUGCGCAGAUAUCAGGAGGAACACCGGUGGCGGAGGCAGGUCUCUGGGCCGAUACUGACGCUGAGGAGCGAAAGCGUGGGGAGCGAACAGG